rnacentral:rRNA from 1 species
AGGACAAACGCUGGCGGCGUGCUUAACACAUGCAAGUCGAGCGGAAAGGCCCUUCGGGUACUCGAGCGGCGAACGGGUGAGUAACACGUGAGCAACCUGCCCUUAGCUCCGGGAUAGCUCCGGGAAACCGGAAUUAAUACCGGAUACGACCACGGCCGACAUCUGCUGUGGUGGAAAGGAUUCCGGCUAAGGAUGGGCUCGCGGCCUAUCAGCUAGUUGGUGGAGUAACGGCCCACCAAGGCGACGACGGGUA